rnacentral:rRNA from 1 species
GGAUGCGAUCAUACCAGCACUAAAGCACCGGAUCCCAUCAGAACUCCGAAGUUAAGCGUGCUUGGGCGAGAGUAGUACUAGGAGGGGUGACCUCCUGGGAAGUCCUCGUGUUGCAUUCC